ACCACGGCAAUUCAUACAACUAAAAGAGAAUCAGAAAACGUGGCAAAGCUGAUCUUACUCCUCUUCCCUGUAUUUUUAAUAUGAGUUGAAGCGGGUUUCUGUCAGAACACAGGAGGAUUAGCCCUGACCUAACUACUGCCAAUCCUCCACUUUUUGCUGAGGAACACUGGCCCAGAGCUAACAUCCAUGCCCAUCUUCCUCUACUUUAUACGUGGGAUGCCUACCACAGCAUGGCAUGCCCAGCAGUGCCAUGUCCGCACCCGGGAUCUGAACCGAAACACUGCAAAGUCACUUAGCCAGUGCCUACACCCAAGAAGAAAUCAUGACCUGAAGUGACCUCAGAACCAAAGAUCCUCCCCACGGAACCCAAGGACAGGGGCACAACUAGAACUUGAAAGCUGGACUCUUAUCAGAAGAAAGGGCUCCCUCCUUCAGGAAGAUCCGGUGUUAAUGUUCCCUCUGCCCCUCAUCAUAAAUGUUUAGAACCCUGUCAUAAAUGUUUAAAACCUUGCCAUAAAUGUUUGAAGCCCACCAAUCAAAGCCUGUGCCGUGAGUGUUUCCACAUGCCAACCUGUUCUCCCUAACCUCUUAAAUUUCACCCCAAAUCUUGAAUUAGGGAGACAGAUAUGAGGGCACACACACCCCAUGUCCCUGUAGAUCAAUAUCACAGAAUAAAAGCUGAUUUCUCCCCCAAAGGCUGAUGCCAUAAUUAAUUGGCUUGUUAAUGCACAUUGGGCAGUGAACUCCAAUUUUGGGCCAUAACAUUAAGACAAAAUCAAGUGUUCUGAUAAAGAAGAAAACAAGAUGCUUGACAUGAAAGAGCAUAACGGAGAGGAAGACCUAUUUCAGAUGGGGUUAUCAGAGCACACUUCUCCAAGAAAGUGAUGUUUAACCCAUUUUAUUUGUUUAUUUAUUUUAACUUAACAUUCUUAUAUUUUAUGGACAUGUAUUUUGGAGUCCCUUUAUUAAGAACAAGCUUAUGUGAUGUAUUCCAC
rnacentral:lncRNA from 1 species